UGUAAAUGUUGCGGCAAGGAGGAGGCUGGAGGCAGUGGAGAUGUCACAUCUGAGGGCAAUGUGUGGUGUGAAUAUUAUACAGAGACUUUGUAGUUUGGAGAUCAGAAGGAGGUGCAAGGUUACUAAAAGUAUUAACCAGAGGGCUGAGGAGGGGUUAUUGUGAUGGUUUAGACAUUUAGAGAGGACGGAGAAAAAUAAGAUGACUUGGUGUAUAAAUCUGUAGUGGAGGAGGAAGAUGGGGUCAUCCUAGGAAAAGUUGGAGGGAAAAGGUAAUUGACAGGAGGUUUUGCAUGCAAGGGAUUUGGACAUCCAGGAGGCAUGUGUGAAUGUUUUAGAUAGGAGUAAGUAGAGGCAAAUUCAAAUUCAAAUUCUGUACACCUAGAUCUGGAUUAGAGAAGACAAAAUUAGUAUCAUCUACAAACAGAACUGGUUAAAGUUCCUGGGAGGCAUUAGGUAGGUUAUUGAUGUAAAUGAGAAAUAUUAGAGGGUCUAUGACAUACUACAAAUAUGUAAAGGUUCAAGAGCCUAGGAUGCCUUACAAGUAUGUAAAGGUCAUUCUUUACUGCAAGCCAUCUUAAAACAUUUCUUGGCAUACCUGCCUUGGCUCAUCAUCCUUCUUAGUGGGUAAUAUAUAUUUUUUUUAAUGUACUGGUCAUCUCCCAUUGAGGUAGGGUGACCUAAAAAAGAGGAAACACUUUCACCAUCACUGUUUUGCAGAGGUGUGCUGUCACUGCAGCUCAAAUGCCCCUCCAAACUGCCAUAUCCCCACCCCUCCUUCAGAAUGCAGGCAAUAUACUUUCCACCUCCAAGACUCAAGACAAGCACAUGAAGGAUCCAGUUACAACUCACAGAAGACCUUACAAAUGGCGAUGCACCGCUUGGAUCAUGCAAGAACUCGUGUCAAUGAAUUAGAAGCUAUCAAAAGUAAGCACAUACAACUGUUACAGCAACAUCAACUCCAGAAACAGCAAGGCAUGCCACAGCCUCCUCAGUCAUGAUAAUACUAAUUUAGUUUUAAUUUUUUAUAGUUAAUGAAGCAUAAAUUGCUCCUGUAGCUGUUAAUCCAUAUUUAGUACAAUACAGGAUAUAUUUUUAUUAUUGAAUAUUGUAUUUAGAUACCUUUUUUUUUUUUUUUUAAUAGUUUUGGAUUAAGAUUAAAGGUGUCCCAGGUAACUCCAUCUUGUCUUCCUUUCAUAAGUUGCAGGACUAAGAUAGUCCUGUUACUUUGUAAUGGAUCUAACAUGUUUGCCAGCUUAUCAGAAUGAGUUUUAUUGAAUAAAUUAUCUUGUAGAAUAGCAUUCUUCUAAAAUAUAAAAUAAUUUCAUUGAUUUGUUUUCUAUUAUUGAGAAGUGAAUGAUAUAGUUUCCAACUACAUUAUAUCUUUUUAUGAGACAAAAGUUUAUCUUGGUUUACAAGUGUUUCUCUAGCAUGUCAACUGCUUUUAUCAAACCUGCAUAAAGUAAAUAAUCUCUAUGUGUUUGAACUUCAUUGGGAUGUGAUUUGUUUGUACAGUACUCCUUAUCAUUGUAUUUCUACAUGCUAAAUUAUUAAGACCUGCAGGAAUAUUACAUUCAAUAAAUUUGAAGGAAAAUGG